GAUGAACGCUGGCGGCGUGCCUAAUACAUGCAAGUCGAGCGAACAGAUGAGGAGCUUGCUCCUCUGACGUUAGCGUCGGACGGGUGAGUAACACGUGGAUAACCUACCUAUAAGACUGGGAUACCUUCGGGAAACCGGAGCUAUUACCGGAUAAUAUAUUUAACCGCAUGGUUCAAUAGUGAAAGACGGUUUUGCUGUCACUUAUAGAUGGGUCCGCGCCGCAUUAGCUAGUUGGUAAGGUAACGGCUUACCAAGGCAACGAUGCGUAGCCGACCUGAGAGGGUGAUCGGACACACUGGAACUGAGAAACGGUCCAGACUCCUACGGGAGGCAGCAGGAGGGAAUCUUCCGCAAUGGGCGAAAGCCUGACGGAGCAACGCCGCGUGAGUGAUGAAGGUCUUCGGAUCGUAAAACUCUGUUAUUAGGGAAGAACAAAUGUGUAAGUAACUAUGCACGUCUUGACGGUACCUAAUCAGAAAGCCACGGCUAACUACGUG
rnacentral:rRNA from 1 species